UACAGAGGGGGCAAGCGUUGUUCGGAAUUACUGGGCGUAAAGGGCGCGUAGGCGGCCUGCUAAGUCGAACGUGAAAUCCCCGGGCUCAACCCGGGAACUGCGUCCGAUACUGGCAGGCUUGAAUCCGGGAGAGGGAUGUGGAAUUCCAGGUGUAGCGGUGAAAUGCGUAGAUAUCAGGAGGAACACCGGUGGCGAAGGCGGGUCUCUGGGCCGAUACUGACGCUGGAGGAGCGAAAGCCGUGGGGAGCGAACAGG
rnacentral:rRNA from 1 species